rnacentral:misc_RNA from 1 species
GAUGAAGAACGUAGCGAAAUGCGAUACGUAAUGUGAAUUGCAGAAUUCAGUGAAUCAUCGAGUCUUUGAACGCACAUUGCGCCCCCUGGUAUUCCGGGGGGCAUGCCUGUCCGAGCGUCAUUGCUGCCCUCAAGCACGGCUUGUGUGUUGGGCUCCGUCCCCUCGGGGACGGGCCCGAAAGGCAGCGGCGGCACCGAGUCCGGUCCUCGAGCGUAUGGGGCUUUGUCACCCGCUCUGUAGGCCCGGCCGGCGCCAGCCGACAACCCAUCAUCCUUUUCAGGUUGACCUCGGAUCAGGUAGGGAUACCCGCUGAACUUAAGCAUAUCAAUAAGCGGAGGA